rnacentral:rRNA from 1 species
CACGCGGUAAACGAUGAUUACUGGUUGUUCGCGAUACACUGUGAGCGACUGAGCGAAAGCGUUAAGUAAUCCACCUGGGGAGUACGUUCGCAAGAAUGAAACUCAAAGGAAUUGACGGGGCCCGCACAAGCGGAGGAACAUGUGGUUUAAUUCGAUGAUACGCGAGGAACCUUACCCGGGCUUGAAAUGCAUCUGACCGGCAAAGAGAUUUGCUUUUUCCUCGGAACGGAUGCGUAGGUGC